UGGCAGGCGAUUCUUGUUAGGGGAAGAUGCAUAGUAAAGGAUGGUCCACCUAUUAUUUCACUCUUGUUAAGUUGGUGUAUAUCUGGUUUGAUAUUAUCGUUUAAUGGUUUGAGUUUGUGUAGUUUUAGUGCCAAGUCUAUGUGCUGCUUAUGGGAGUUUUUGUGUGUUACAUUAAUAAGGGUGCUGGUGUAUGAUAUUAUU
rnacentral:rRNA from 1 species